UGGCUUAGAAGCAUCCACCCUUUAAAGAAAGCGUAAUAGCUCACUAGUCGAGUCGGCCUGCGCGGAAGAUGUAACGGGGCUAAGCAAUAUACCGAAGCUGCGGCAGCAAGUUUACUUGCUGGGUAGGGGAGCGUUGUGUAAGUGGAUGAAGGUGAGUUGUAAAGCUUGCUGGACAUAUCACAAGUGCGAAUGCUGACAUGAGUAACGAUAAAGGGGGUGAGAGGCCCCCUCGCCGAAAAUCCAAGGUUUCCUGCUCAACGCUAAUCGG
rnacentral:rRNA from 1 species